AUUGAACGCUGGCGGUAUGCUUAACACAUGCAAGUCGCACGGCAGCAUGAUGUGUAGCAAUACACAUUGAUGGCGAGUGGCGGACGGGUGAGGAACGCGUAGGAAUCUGCCUUGUAGAGGGGGACAACCGGAGGAAACUCCGGCUAAUACCGCAUAAAGUCUACGGACCAAAGGCUGGGUAGCAAUACCUGGCGCUAUGAGAGGAGCCUGCGUCCGAUUAGCUAGUUGGUAGGGUAAAGGCCUACCAAGGCGAUGAUCGGUAGCUGGUCUGAGAGGAUGAUCAGCCACCAUGGGACUGAGACACGGCCCAGACUCCUACGGGAGGCAGCAGUGGGGAAUAUUGGACAAUGGGGGCAACCCUGAUCCAGCAAUACCGCGUGUGUGAAGAAGGCCUUCGGGUUGUAAAGCACUUUAGGUUGGGACGAAGAUAUGUAGUUUAAGAGAUGACAUAUUUGACGGUACCGACAGAAUAAGCACCGGCUAACUCUGUGCCAGCCGCCGCGGUAA
rnacentral:rRNA from 1 species